rnacentral:lncRNA from 1 species
AUGGACACUAUGCACUCUUGUUAUGUGGUUCUCCUUUCACUGUGGGAGAGGCAGAGGACUUUAAAACCCCAAAGUCUCUCCACGAAAUGGCUACCAGCCCGGAGGCGGUUCACAAAAUGGCCUCCAGAGUCAGGUCAGGUCCCCGCUGACCGUCCAGAGUCAGGUCAGGUCCCCGCUGACCGUCCAGAGUCAGGUCAGGUCCCCGCUGACCGUCCAGAGUCAGGUCAGGUCCCCGCUGACCGUCCAGAGUCAGGUCAGGUCCCCGCUGACCGUCCAGAGUCAGGUCAGGUCCCCGCGGAUCUUAGUGAACAAGGUCACGCCACCGCGGAUCUUAGUGAACAAGGUCACGCCACCGCGGAUCUUAGUGAACAAGGUCACGCCACCGCGGAUCUUAGUGAACAAGGUCACGCCACCGCGGAUCUUAGUGAACAAGGUCACGCCACCGCGGAUCUUAGUGAACAAGGUCACGCCACCGCGGAUCUUAGUGAACAAGGUCACGCCACCGCGGAUCUUAGUGAACAAGGUCACGCCACCGCGGAUCUUAGUGAACAAGGUCACGCCACCGCGGAUCUUCGUGAACAAGGUCAAGUCACAGUUAAACUUUAUGAGGCCAGUCAAAUCACUACCAAUCUUCCAGAGUUUCAUCAUACCACAACAGAUCAUCCAGAGCCUCAUCACAGCCUGUCAGUUGCACCAAGCAAGGUUCUCUCAGCCUGUUGUAUUGAUGUCAAGGAGACUGUAACUGCUGCAGAACCUUCGGAGGUGUCAGUAGUAUCCAUCCAGGAACUCUCGUCCUGUCCUGUCACGGCCAAGGAGGUCACCCACCAACUCACCGCCCAUCCUGUCACGGCCACGGAGGCCGUCUAUGAACUCAUUGCCUGCCCUGUCAUGGCUAAGGAGGCCGUCUAUGAACUCUCGUCCUGUCCUGUCACGGCCAAGGAGGUCGUCCACCAACUCACCGCCCAUCCUGUCACGGCCACGGAGGCCGUCUAUGAACUCAUUGCCUGCCCUGUCACGGCUAAGGAGGCCGUCUAUGAACUCUCGUCCUACCCUGUCACGCCCAUGGAGACCGGCUGUGAACUCUUUGCCGGCCCUGUCACGGCUAUGGAGGCCGUUUGGGAACUCUCUAACCACCUCAUCACGACCACGGAGGCCGCCAUUAACCUGUUUAUGUUCUCUGUUUCAGUCCCACCUGACCAGACUUGCUCUCCUGUACCGUUGACUCCACUGUGCUUCUGUCCCAUCUGCUCAGCUGUGGUGGUCCUCUGCUCCGCCCUGGCGGGCUUCUGUCUCCUCUGCUCGGCUGUGGUGGUUCUCUGCUCCGCCCUGGUCAACUUCUGUCCCGUCUGCUCCGCCCUGGUGGGCUUCUAUCCCAUCUGCUCAGCGGUGGGGGCUCCUUGCUCCGCCCUGGUGGGCUCCAGUUCCACCUGCUCCGCCCCGGUGGACUCCUGUUCCGUCGGCUCUGCCUUGGUCGCCAGCCAUUCCACUUCCACAUGGACCAGGCCCUCCAUCCCUCCCCCUGUUCUGCCUCCGCUCCACUGCCCUCCAAGACUGUAUAGAGCGUCUGGAAGCCGCUCCUUGUGGGGGGGCUAUGUCACGAUCUCUAGCUGGAGUGCCUGUGAGCUUCAGUAGAGGGCACUCCACUCAGGACUCAUUCAGAACUCCAUUUCCCAUCCUGCCUUACUCCUGGGACUGAUUGGCACUCCACUCAGGACUCAUUCAGAACUCCAUUUCCCAUCCUGCCUUACUCCUGGGACUGAUUGCACACACACACCUGCACCUAAUUCCACACACACACCUGCAGCUAAUACACACACACCCAUAUAAGCAGCACACUCACACCAUCACACUGCGAAGUCUUGUUUAGCCCCGUCUAACAUUUCCGAGCGUUUUCCCUUUGUUUGUUCUUCCGUGUCUGACUUUUGGAUUGUGUAUUCUGACUCUGAUUCUCUGCUGCCUGCCCCGAUCUCUGCUUGUUUCUGGUUUUGAUUCUGGUUACCCCUGACAUACCUGACGCCAUUCCUGAUUUCCACCUGUCUGACCACUCUGUUAAUAAAUACUGCAAUUGGAUCCGAACGUCUCUGACUCUCCAGUGUAACAGCAGCUUAUUAGAGGUUUAGUACCAUUAUAUGU